rnacentral:rRNA from 1 species
UCGCCUCUUGCCAACACCAUAUAAGAGGUCCCGCCUGCCCUGUGACCCCAAGUUUAACGGCCGCGGUAUCCUGACCGUGCAAAGGUAGCGCAAUCACUUGUCCCUUAAAUGAGGACCUGUAUGAAUGGCAUAACGAGGGCUUAACUGUCUCCUUUCCCCAGCCAAUGAAAUUGAUCUUCCCGUGCAGAAGCGGGAAUACUAACAUAAGACGAGAAGACCCUAUGGAGCUUUAGACACUAGGACAGACCAUGUCAGCUACCCCCACAAAGAAGUAGUAAUAAUUGAACCCCUGUUCUCCGUCUUCGGUUGGGGCGACCACGGGGAAUAAAAAAACCCCCACGUGGAUCGGGAGUACACCACUCCUAUAACCACGAGCCACCGCUCUAAAUAACAGAAUUUCUGACCAAAAAGAUCCGGCAACGCCGAUCAACGGACCCAGUUACCCUAGGGAUAACAGCGCAAUCCUCUUCAAGAGUCCAUAUCGACAAGAGGGUUUACGACCUCGAUGUUGGAUCAAGACAUCCUAAUGGUGCAGCCGCUAUUAAGGGUUCGUUUGUUCAACGAUUAAAGUCUUACGUGAUCUG